rnacentral:rRNA from 1 species
GAUGAACGCUGGCGGCGUGCUUAACACAUGCAAGUCGAACGGAAAGGCCCAAGCUUGCUUGGGUACUCGAGUGGCGAACGGGUGAGUAACACGUGGGUGAUCUGCCCUGCACUUCGGGAUAAGCCUGGGAAACUGGGUCUAAUACCGGAUAGGACAACUUCUUGGAGGUUGUGGUGGAAAGUUUUUUCGGUGUGGGAUGAGCUGGCGGCCUAUCAGCUUGUUGGUGGGGUAAUGGCCUACCAAGGCGUCGGCGGGUAGCCGGCCUGAGAGGGUGUACGGCCACAUUGGGACUGAGAGACGGCCGAGGCGCCGACGGGUGGAAGCAGUGGGGAAUCUUGAACAAGGGGCGCAGGCCUGAUGCAGCGACGCCGCGUGGGGGAUGACGGCCUUCGGGUUGUAAACUCCUUUCGCUAGGGACGAAGCGUUUUGUGACGGUACCUGGAGAAGAAGCACCGGCUAACUACGUG